rnacentral:lncRNA from 1 species
AGUCUUUGUAAAUGUGGGAAAUCAGCUCUCCGAUUGUGAAUUGCGGCCUAACGAGUAUGCUGAUUGGGUAUUAUGUCCUUACCUUAAUAAAAUACCUUGAAACUGUAAUACGAGUGGAUGAAGUCUUGGAUGCGUAUGGUAGUUAUAGCAACAAAUGGUCAGGACAUUCUAUCUUAUCCACCACGUGAUGUAUUUCAAGUUUAGCACCAAGUUCACAUUUAGAGGCAGACACUAGAAUCAUGGUGCAUGUGUCUGAUGCAGUGAAACACGAACUUAAACGAGUCAUGAUUCGAACAGUCGUUAAUGAUGAUGCUGUCACUACUGUUUCGCUAUUCCGUGACAUAGGGGUAGACGAACUAUGGAUUGUGUUUGGGAGGGCAAAAGACUUUGGAUUAAUAUCUAUCAAUGGCCUUUCAAAUGCACUAGGCAAUGAGUGAUCUGACACACUUAUUGUUAUCCAUGCCUUUACCUGUUGUGAUAUGGUUCUCUCUUUGCUUGAAAGGGGGAAAAAAACUAUGUGGGAGACAUUGAUUGCAUUUGAAGAUGUGACAUAAAAAAUGAUGAUUGAUCAGACUAAAUCACCGGGGUUUUACUGUAAGAUCGCACAAACUUAACAGAUGGGUAUAACAUGGUUAACGAAGCAAGAAAAUAACUAUUUGCGCAAAAGGGAAGGCUUUUUGAGGCUAUUCCCUCAACUUGGUCUAGUCUUUUCCAGCAUGUAAAUCAUGCAAUAUACUUAGGUAGGUGUUUAGGGAGACGAGCUUGGGAUUGGCUCUUAUGCUACCCACUCCAGGCGGGGACAAAGAGGAUAACUUUUAAAAAACUCUUUUUGAGGCCUCAUCAUUUUGUCAGAAGCUUGUACAUUGUGGAUGUAAGAAAGGAUGCCGCGGUCAUUUUUAAUGUGGAAAAUCGGGUCUCCCGUGCACUGCGAUGUGUGCAUGUCGUGGUGAUCGUUAUUUUUGGCCGAAAAUUGUAGUAAUUUUAAAUAUGUUUUAGUACUAUAGUGAUUUUAUUUUGUUUU